AAACUGGAUAGGGUAGUUCCCGAAAAGCCGUACCCUUGACGGCCUACCAGUUUGAUUUCUAUAUCAAGG
rnacentral:sRNA from 1 species